GUCAACGUCUGCCACUUUUUAUACUCUAA
rnacentral:piRNA from 1 species